CGCCUGAACACUCACUUUCGGAACAGCUCAAGGUCCAUCAUGACUUCGCCGGCUGAUUCCCGGACAGCUUCGCGAAUCUUCUCCAUGCAGUCCCGUAAUCUGGGGUCAGAGGGGUCAGUUGGUUCCAGAGGCGAUGAAGUUCCCUCUCGAUGGGCUCCAGGCUGGUCACCUGUGUCUUGAAGAAACCAGGUUCGAUGAUGCACACAUUGACCCCAAAAUUCUGGAUGUCCCUCCUGAAAUUGAAUGCAAAAUCAAGAGGUUUUCUUUAAAGGUACAAAUGGUUUCAAAGGUCGAAACAAUACUACAGCCACAUAAAAACCAUUGUAUUCAUUGACGUGUGGUACCUGAGACAAUCAGAGAAGCUCUCCACUGCAAACUUUGAGAUGCAAUACCCUCCGCCGUUAGCUGCCACUCUUCCCAACACUGAUGCCACGUUCACCACUCGUCCACGGGCCUUUUUGACAAGAGGGAAGAAGUUCAUGGUCAUCUCGAUAACACCAGUCAUGUUGACUUUGAGCGUGCUUUCGAAGUCUUCGAUUUUCAUCCAUUCUGAUGGACCCAUGGGAAGGGAGCGUCCGGCGUUGUUCACGAGACCCCACAGUCCUGGGUAAUUGGAAGCAAAGAUGUCACACUUGUAUCUAAAACGUAUUUUAAAGUCUCACCUGUAACACACCUUUAUCUCCAACUUCAUUUUUGGUCCAUUCCAAAGCCUUCUGAAUGCUGGCUGUGCUGGUCACGUCCAAAAUGCAGGUCUUCAGGAAAGGUCCCGUCGCCCUCUUCAGAUCAUCUGCACCCUUUUCCGUGAGACACCCGGCUAGGACACGGAAACCACGUUUGUCCAAGCGUUUGCACAGUAGGUGUCCGAACCCAGAGUCGCAACCUGUUACAAAAACGUGUUUCUCCGAGACCUUGGUGAUCUCCAGGUUGUCCCGGUAGAACCACACCAGAACCCACAGCAGCAUGAACGCACCCAAGAUGCAUGUGCAUGUACAGUUGUUACUGUAAGCACAAAAUGCAUACAAAAUUGACACAUUUCUGAGUUUUGUUGGUUUAUUUGUUUGUUUUGAUAGUAUUUUAGUCAGACGCAUUCUUACCUCAAGUACUCGUACAUCCUUUCUGUCUCCUGAGUGAUUCUGCGAAGAUGCUUAGUAAACAAUUGCUUUUUUGUAGAAUGCAAAUGACGUAAAAGAAAGAAAAAACACAACAAUGCAGGUAUAAUUAUAAAGCAGUUCCUUAAAUCACCACAGGGGGCACCAUAAUCUAACAAACACCAGCUUUUAAAAGGUAUUGUGAACUUCUAUAAAACAUAAAACUUUUUAAAUAUUCAAA